GUCUAUGGCCAUGCCACCCUGAACAACCCCAUUCCUGUCUGAUCUCAGAAGCUAAGCAGGGUCAGGCCUGGUUAGUACUUAGAUGGGAGACCACCUAGGAAGACCAGGUGCAGUAGGCA
rnacentral:rRNA from 1 species